rnacentral:lncRNA from 1 species
ACUCCAGCAUGACUCGUGACUCGUAAGAGACGCCCAUGACACCUCACAUCCUUGUCCAACGUGUGCCCAAGGCCACGUCAUCCCACUCAUGGAGCUCUCUCACCGGCUCGUCGACCAUGGCAGCAGUUGGGCCAAAGCAGCAGGAGACGUUGCAGCUAUCCCAAAGCUGCCGCCACUCCACACGUAACUGAUUCCGGCGCAAUGGAAGUCCAUAUGGGCAGCCCGUCAUCUCGUCCAUACAGUAAUUAAUUACCCAACGGCAAUAUACAAAAGCAAAUAGUUUGUAAAAGUCAUCAAUAUAUCUUGUUUAUUUAAAUUUCAUUGCAUGAUUUGUCACCGUAUUGAAAUCAUCAAUAAUCAAAUCUGUCGUGACCUUCAUUGUAACCUCUCUCUCAACAUGAGACAAGAAAUUAAAUCGAAAAUAGUUUUGAAGAUACUCCC